AUUGAACGCUGGCGGAAUGCUUUACACAUGCAAGUCGAACGAUGAAGCCUAGCUUGCUAGGCAGAUUAGUGGCGAACGGGUGAGUAAUGUAUCGGAACGUAUCCAAUAAUGGGGGAUAACGAGUCGAAAGAUUCGCUAAUACCGCAUACGCCCUACGGGGGAAAGCAGGGGAUCUUAGGACCUUGCGUUAAUGGAGCGGCCGAUAUCUGAUUAGCUAGUUGGUGAGGUAAAGGCUCACCAAGGCGACGAUCAGUAGCUGGUCUGAGAGGACGACCAGCCACACUGGAACUGAGACACGGUCCAGACUCCUACGGGAGGCAGCAGUGGGGAAUUUUGGACAAUGGGCGAAAGCCUGAUCCAGCCAUUCCGCGUGAGUGAAGAAGGCCUUCGGGUUGUAAAGCUCUUUCGCAAGGGAAGAAAACUUACUUUCUAAUAAAGAGUGAGGUUGACGGUACCUUGAUAAGAAGCACCGGCUAACUACGUG
rnacentral:rRNA from 1 species